rnacentral:misc_RNA from 1 species
GAUGAAGAACGUAGCGAAAUGCGAAAAGUAAUGUGAAUUGCAGAAUUCAGUGAAUCAUCGAAUCUUUGAACGCACAUUGCGCCCGCCAGUAUUCUGGCGGGCAUGCCUGUCUGAGCGUCAUUUCAACCCUCACGCCCCUAGGGCGUGGUGUUGGGGAUCGGCCAAGGCCCGCAAGGGACGGCCGGCCCCUAAAUCUAGUGGCGGACCCAUCGUGGCCUCCCCUGCGAAGUAGUAAUAUAUUCCGCAUCGGAUAGCGAUGAGCCCCUGCCGUUAAACCCCCAACUCUUUCAAGGUUGACCUCAGAUCAGGUAGGAAUACUCGCUGAACUUAAGCAUAUCAAUAAGCGGAGGA